rnacentral:rRNA from 1 species
GACGAACGCUGGCGGCGUGCCUAAUACAUGCAAGUUGAGCGAUGAAGAUUGGUGCUUGCCCCAAUUUGAAGAGCAGCGAACGGGUGAGUAACGCGUGGGGAAUCUGCCUUUGAGCGGGGGACAACAUUUGGAAACGAAUGCUAAUACCGCAUAACAACUUUAAACAUAAGUUUUAAGUUUGAAAGAUGCAAUUGCAUCACUCAAAGAUGAUCCCGCGUUGUAUUAGCUAGUUGGUGAGGUAAAGGCUCACCAAGGCGAUGAUACAUAGCCGACCUGAGAGGGUGAUCGGCCACAUUGGGACUGAGACACGGCCCAAACUCCUACGGGAGGCAGCAGUAGGGAAUCUUCGGCAAUGGACGAAAGUCUGACCGAGCAACGCCGCGUGAGUGAAGAAGGUUUUCGGAUCGUAAAACUCUGUUGGUAGAGAAGAACGUUGGUGUGAGUGGAAAGCUCAUCAAGUGACGGUAACUACCCAGAAAGGGACGGCUAACUACGUG